AUUGAACGCUGGCGGCAUGCCUAACACAUGCAAGUCGAGCGAGCGGCGGACGGUUGAUAACUGGCGGGUAACCUGCCUGUUGGAGGGGGAUAACUACUGGAAACGGUAGCUAAUACCGCAUACCCUCAGAUGUGCCGAGAGGGGCUUAGCUAGUAGGUGGGGUACAGGCUCACCAAGGCGACGAUCCCUAGCUGGUCUGAGAGGGUGACCAGCCACACUGGAACUGAGACACGGUCCAGACUCCUACGGGAGGCAGCAGGAGGGAAUAUUGCACAAUGGGCGAAAGCCUGAUAGAGCAACGCCGCGUGUGUGAAGAAGGGCUUCGGAUUGUAAAACUCUUUUAGUAGGGAAGCGUUACCCAAAGAGGAAGCACCGGCUAACUCCGUGCCAGCAGCCGCGGUAAUUC
rnacentral:rRNA from 1 species